UACACUCUGACAGUGGCACAGUUAUGCCAUCUCCCUGGAUGACAGAAGAUUUGCAGGUGACACUUUUGGAGUCAUUAAUUGCCAGCCUCACGCAUUAGCAGAAUGUUUGGGGUCCAGGUGUGAUGGGUGGAGAAGCUGCUGCAGACAACUGGGAGGCCUCUGAGCUGUGAGGGUCAUUAAUGACUGACCUUUGUACAUCACACACAUGUACAGGAAGAGUGCUGAUCACCCAUCCCCAUCACACCAUCUGUCUUAGCUUUGGUCCUGGCUCUAAAUCAUUCCAGGUUUGAACAUUAUCGUCUAGUAGGUCAGCUCAGCCUGACAGAUUUUGGCUAUUUUUUGCUGUGAUAUAUAGCCAAAGAGUAGGAGGUGUGACAGUGGGUGUUGGCUGACAAGAAUUGCUGCAUCUGAGGAAGAUUCACAAACCUUGGGUUAUAAUUCCUUCCAUGUGGUCAGAAGCUGGCAGGUUCGUGUAUUGGACUCUGGGAGUGUAGACAGCGUGGUGGUUAACAGGAGAUGGAUAAGCUGGAAUGGAGCUGUGCAGCUGCUAGCGGGUUGCUUCGACACUGCCAGCUUGGCCAGAGCAGCUCCAGUACGUCCGUGCUCCGCUGCUCCCUGUGCUGUGGCUCUGUUUGAGUGUGCGUGGGACACAUCAGCUGUGCAGCACUUUCACUUCUCGGGCUGGGAGAGAGGAGUGAAUGAAAACGACAGCUGAUGAUAACAAGAAUUCCCGUACGCUAUGUAGGAUUUUCAAGAGCUGGGAGAGCAACCUGGAAAAUUCUUCUUCUGGAAGCAAUGAGCUGAAUGAAAGAGACAAUAUAUUCUAGAACUCCAUCAGGCUUCCAUUUUUCAGCUCUACAGAUAGGUUUGGAUUCUUCUGUGGAUAAUGACAGAAAGAUUCUUCCACACAUUACCUUUCUACAAGCCUCUGGCAAAUAAUAUUCUUCCUAAGGUGAGGGGAGGGGAAAAAAAAAAAAAAAAAAAAAAGAUCUGUAUGUUUUUCUAGUAACUCCUGAAAGAUUUCAUUUUGGGUGUGCACAAGUGCCAGUUACAAGGACAUAUAUUGAGGCUGAUUUCUGUCAAUUUUUCACUGGCAAGUAGUAAUCUCUUUCUUAUUUACACUGCAAAGUCACAGCAAGUAUUAAAAAGGAAGUUGAAUGGAACAUUUUUCACUGCAGGUUGCACGCUUCUUUAUUCUCAAACUCAUUUUCAGAAUGCAGGCUGAUGUUACUGAUUUCCUGUGCUUCAGUGUGCAUGUGCUGUGGUUUAGAAGCAGUUUCCUCUUUCAACCUGCUGAACUCUUGCCCUUGUUUUCCUUAGAUGUUGACCUAAAGGUAUGAUUACUGUGAGAAAGAAAAACAAAAUGUUAAUGGAGAGCUGACUUCUCCCUUUUCCACUGUUCAUUUCCUUGCCAAAAUAGUUUAUCUCUUAUUUACGUCCUCUGCUCCUUGCCUCCUUUCUAUUUCAGUAGCUGCUCUGGCGCCUCUCUGGAUGAUGCAUCUGCAUUGCUCAGGCAUUUGC